UACGUAGGUGACAAGCGUUGUCCGGAUUUACUGGGCGUAAAGAGCGCGCAGGCGGUCGUUCAAGUCGAGUGUGAAAGCCCCCGGCUCAACUGGGGAGGGUCACUCGAUACUGAUCGACUCGAAGGCAGGAGAGGGAAGUGGAAUUCCCGGUGUAGUGGUGAAAUGCGCAGAUAUCAGGAGGAACACCGGUGGCGAAGGCGGGUCUCUGGGCCGUAACUGACGCUGAGGAGCGAAAGCAUGGGGAGCGAACAGG
rnacentral:rRNA from 1 species